UACGUAGGGGGCAAGCGUUAUCCGGAUUUACUGGGUGUAAAGGGAGCGUAGACGGCCAGACAAGUCUGAAGUGAAAAUCCAGCGCUUAACGCCGGAAGUGCUUUGGAAACUGCCGGGCUGGAGUGCAGGAGGGGCAGGCGGAAUUCCUAGUGUAGCGGUGAAAUGCGUAGAUAUUAGGAGGAACACCAGUGGCGAAGGCGGCCUGCUGGACUGCAACUGACGUUGAGGCUCGAAGGCGUGGGGAGCAAACAGG
rnacentral:rRNA from 1 species